GGUUGCGAUCAUACCAGCACUAAUGCACCGGAUCCCAUCAGAACUCCGCAGUUAAGCGCGCUUGGGCGAGAGUAGUACUAGGAUGGGUGACCCCCUGGGAAGUCCUCGUGUUGCAACCC
rnacentral:rRNA from 1 species